rnacentral:rRNA from 1 species
UACGGAAGGCAGCAGUGGGGAAUAUUGCACAAUGGGCGCAAGCCUGAUGCAGCCAUGCCGCGUGUAUGAAGAAGGCCUUCGGGUUGUAAAGUACUUUCAGCGGGGAGGAAGGCGGUGAAGUUAAUAGCUUCACCGAUUGACGUUACCCGCAGAAGAAGCACCGGCUAACUCCGUGCCAGCAGCCGCGGUAAUACGGAGGGUGCAAGCGUUAAUCGGAAUUACUGGGCGUAAAGCGCACGCAGGCGGUCUGUCAAGUCGGAUGUGAAAUCCCCGGGCUUAACCUGGGAACUGCAUUCGAAACUGGCAGGCUAGAGUCUUGUAGAGGGGGUAGAAUUCCAGGUGUAGCGGUGAAAUGCGUAGAGAUCUGGAGGAAUACCGGUGGCGAAGGCGGCCCCUGGACAAAGACUGACGCUCAGGGUGCGAAAGCGUGGGGAGCGAAACAGGAUUAGGAUACC